rnacentral:rRNA from 1 species
AGAGUUUGAUCAUGGCUCAGAACGAACGCUGGCGGCGCGUUUAAGCAUGCAAGUCGAGCGGCAAGGGCCUUCGGGCCCCUAGAGCGGCGGACGGGUGAGUAACACGUGGACAAUCUGCCCCCCGGCCCGGGAUAGCCCAGGGAAACCUGGAUUAAUACCGGAUGAGACGGGACCCGCGAUGGCGGGAUCCGGGAAAGGCGCUGCGGCGCCGCCGGGGGAUGAGUCUGCGUCCCAUUAGCUAGACGGCGGGGUAACGGCCCACCGUGGCGACGAUGGGUAGCCGGCCUGAGAGGGUGGACGGCCACAUUGGAACUGAGACACGGUCCAGACUCCUACGGGAGGCAGCAGCUAAGAAUCUUCCGCAAUGGGCGAAAGCCUGACGGAAGCGACGCCGCGUGAACGAAGAAGGCCGUGAGGUUGUAAAGUUCUUUUCGGGAGGGGAACAACCGUGGCAGGGAAUGGCCGCGGGAUGACGUGAAUCCCGGAAUAAGCCCCGGCUAACUACGUGCCAGCCGCGGC